GGGGGACUGGCCCCAGCGGCUUGGUGGAGCAGGAGCCGUCUGUGGCAAGUGCGUACCCUCUCCGCGGGAUCAUCGCCAUGGUCCUGCAAUCCUAGGAGUCGGGCAGGGCCGAACCUGCCUGAAGAAACCUCAAGCGGAGAUUCAAGGAAGCACCACGUGAUCCCUAAGGAUCCCAACGAUGCGUCCGACAUGCAUGAACGGUGUGAGGGUGCGUCUCCCUGACAGCUGUCCCCGCUGGGAUUUCGAGGAAUUAUCCGAUGAAAAGUAGAAGAGGUUGAAUGACUUUCUGUGGCCUUUUCUUCACAGAUUAUUCAGUAAGAACAGUCUCAGGAAAACAGGACCUUCAACAGAGAUAAGAGAAUUAAAAUACGCAGACUAACAACUCUGGGAAUGGGCUGACCAGCCUGAUAAGAAUAGGCUGACGGCACCUACAGAAGGCCACAAAACACUGACCAAGAAAGCAAUGACCAACAAAGCAAUGACCUGAGACUGCACAUUUCACAAGAAUGUUUUGAUCAUCAUUUUUUCUAAUUUCCCUUAAAAACCCCUGAUAUAGAGACAGAACUCGGUGGUCUUUGAACACUAGUUCACUGCCUCCCCUGGGUGGUUGGAUUCCUGAAUAAAGCUAACCAUCCUUUCACCAAUGCUCAUCUCUUGAGCUUUCAAGUGACAACUGGUCUGGACCCGAAUUUCAUUACAAAACCUAUGUAUACCUUACCUUACAUGG
rnacentral:antisense_RNA from 1 species